GACUAUGUUGAAGUGAUUUUGGGUUUAGCCCGCCUUAAUAAAUUCUACAGCCCAGAAAUACAACGUACCGUAGUCACAAUUAGGGUUUCUUUAUAUCCUAAAUUUCUCUUUACCCUUUAUUCCCUUAGCCAUUUUUAGCAUUAUCUCCUUAUUUCCAAGAUCUGUUCUUAUCUUAAUCUCCUUUAUUUUCUUGGGAUUCCAUUAUUUCUUGAAGAAAAUCAGCCAUGGGUCGUACUUCCUCCAUCCCCCGUUGUCUUAUCCCCUUCCGUAUUUGCGGUUCACAAAAUAUGGAGAAAUUGAAGCUUCGAAUUGUCAUCUCUAUUAUCAGAUCUUGAUACUAGCAAGUCAAUAAGGUUCAUCUCUGACAUGAGUGGUGACUGUAUUCGUAAUGAAAAGACACCGGCGUUAGGAUCUCGGUGGCGAAAAACCUCGUCGUCUGACAUUUGUAGAUCUAAAUAAGUGUGUCAUGGAUGAGAGAUUCAUUAGUUAGAAGAAUUAAAACAUACGUUGUCAAUUUGUUUAUUUUAAUUUGCGUAAUUUGAUUUAUUCAACUUUGUAAGAUACUCCUACUUUGUACUUAUAAUGUAAUACGAGUAGUAUAGAAACUCAGAUCUAUAAUUCUUGUAUUCCUUAUUUGAUUAAUAAUAAUGACACAUGUUUAGUAUAUGAAGGUUUUUAUCUCCAAAACUUUAAUAUUAUGUGCGCACUUAUCAAGACCCAAACAAUAGGAAAGAAAACGAAAAUUAUACAAAAAUGCAAUUUCCAGCAAACUAUUGAGGGGGGCAAUAGUUAUUGUACGCCUCAACAGGUCCCCAUUAUUAUGCUACUUAAUGGGUCUGUUGAGGGGGGCAUUA